rnacentral:rRNA from 1 species
GAUGAACGCUGGCGGUAUGCCUAACACAUGCAAGUCGUACGAGAGUUUUUAACUCUAGUGGCGGACGGGUGAGUAACACGUGAGAAUUUGCCUUUAGGAGGGGGACAACAAUUGGAAACGAAUGCUAAUACCCCAUAUGCUUUCGAGUGAAAUGGAUUUUAUCCGCCUAGAGAGAAGCUCGCGGCUGAUUAGCUUGUUGGUAAGGUAAGAGCUUACCAAGGCGACGAUCAGUAUCUGGUUUGAGAGGACGAUCAGACACACUGGAACUGAGACACGGUCCAGACUCCUACGGGAGGCAGCAGUGGGGAAUUUUCCGCAAUGGGCGAAAGCCUGACGGAGCAAUACCGCGUGAGGGAAGAAUGCCUAUGGGUUGUAAACCUCUUUUUUCAGGGAGGAAUCAAUGACGUUACCUGAAGAAUAAGCAUCGGCUAACUCCGUG